GGGCUGACGAGAGGAAGACGAUUCGACUGAAGCCAGCAGACUGCCCCAGCCUUUUAGCGGGGAUACUGCAGCAGCGACGGCGUGAAUGCCGCACCCUGAAUGAAAGCGGAGAGGACGCGCCGUCUUGUGAAAGAGAGGGGCUGACGAGGAAGGGACGAUUCGACUGAAGCCAGCAGACUGCCCCAGCCUUUUAGCGGGGAUACUGCAGCAGGUGUCUGUCCAGCGCGACGGCGUGAAUGCCGCACCCUGAAUGAAAGCGGAGAGGACGCGCCGUCUUGUGAAAGAGAGGGGCUGACGAGGAAGGGACGAUUCGACUGAAGCCAGCAGACUGCCCCAGCCUUUUAGCGGGGAUACUGCAGCAGGUGUCUGUCCAGCGCGACGGCGUGAAUGCCGCACCCUGAAUGAAAGCGGAGAGGACGCGCCGUCUUGUGAAAGAGAGGGGCUGACGAGGAAGGGACGAUUCGACUGAAGCCAGCAGACUGCGAUAUAUUCGCCAACGAAUCUUGACCCUAACCCCUAACCCUAACCCUAACCCCUAACCCUAACUCUAACCCAUAACCCUAACGCUAACCCCUAACUCUAACCCUAACCCAUAACCCCUAACCUCUAACCUCUAACCCCUAACCCUAACCCGUUCGCCAACGAAUCUCCCCAGGCGGCCGACCAGUUCUCGGCUUGGUCCCCGAGUGCAGCUCCGAACAAGAGCCGCCAAGAACUUUAAAUGUGAUGUACUGUUUUAUUUCUAGAAUAAACUGUUGUCAGUUCAUUUUUUAUUGUGUUUUUUGAAUAAAUAUAUAUUAUUAUUGCAAAUGAUGUUAUAUUUGUCUAUUAAAAUGUUCUCUUUUGAA